CUUAAUCGCCCUAGAGCGAGAUGAACCCCGAUGGGACUCCCCUUGUUGCAGCAUGCUGGCGCUCUCCAGACCGGUGAGGUUCUUGGACUUUGGCAUCCGUUGUAGACCAAGUGGAAGGAGAGGAAGUACUUUGACCCUUGAUAGGACUCUUCUCUUCAUUCCUGCAUUGUUCCAGAGCCUCAUAGGAGUUGUGAGCUGAGUCUAGCUUCAAAACUGUCCCUUUUUGGCAUUCUAGGGCUCCCUGGCAACAUGCUGACCAUUUGGCCUUGUGUCUACUCCAGGAAACAAGGAGCACAACCACCUGCUGUGUGGCGACAUAGCGUACUUCAUCAUAUCAUGUUGCUUACCUGUGGAAGCAUACACCAUAGGAUGGAUUGGAUUUUUAGUGAAUAGGAAAAAAAUAACUUGUUCAGAGUUGCUAAUUAUUCAGGCAGACAGAGAGAUGAAUUCAGAUUGUUGGUUCAGUGAGUUCUCUAGUGCACAGAAUCGAAGUAUAUAGUUUAGAUAUAACAAAUACUGACAAAAGUAAUAGUUUAGAUAUGCACUCAUCAUGGGCCAAAAAUAUCCACAAGCAUAUAGUUAAGGUAAUAACAAGGACUAGACAAAAUCAUGGUCACUAAUAAACACAUGGUCAAUAGCUACAGUUUUCACAAGUAAGAAGAGCAAGGCUCACAACAAGGGGGAACGGAAAUAUGUUAAAACUACUAGAAAAUAAACCAAGUUUCCGGUCCAGGAUCAGAAGUACAAAUAUGUCCAACAAACAAAGAUCACUAAAGGCAAAGACCUGACCAGGACCAGGGCUAAAUAGAAGGCCCAGCUUAUAUUAGUAAAAUCUACUACCAUGUGAUCAUCAACCACACAAACAUAAUGAUGUAGCAUCACACAAGCUUUAUCAAGCGCAAGCACUAAUGUUGAUUGAAGCAGCAACGUCUACAGAGUUCGAACAGAAGAUGGGCCAAAAGCCACUUCGCACCAUGGAACUUUGGAGACUAUGUCGAUUAACAGUAGCAAUUAGGCUAGAGCUAGAAACUACUCCUUCUGUAAAGAAAUAUAAGACCGUUUAGAAACACUCCCUGUGUAAAGAAAUAUAAGGCUGUUUAGAUCACUGUACUACACUAUGAACAGGAGCACGAUGCGAGUGUCUAGAAAACUAUGCUAGAGCAGAACAUCAAUAACAUGGAAAAAAAGAAGCAUCUUUGGUGAGAGCGAGCAGAGGGCAACCUUGUGUGGGGAGUCAGCAUAGGCAUCACCUCGAGGUUGAAGUAAGACCCAAUGAUGUUCCUCAUCAAGCUCGACAGCUUGGGCGUGUGGCCCCGCAUAUGCCUCGUCGAUGUCUUCCAUGGAGGGCGCCUGCUGCUCUGAAUCAAACAAACAAAUAAAUUAGGUAUCUGAGAGAGACUAGAAUUCCAAGCAACAGAUGGACAACUUUACUCACAGACAAACACGUGUAGGCAAAGGAAAAAACGACGGCUUUGCAUGCACUAAAUUCCUGUAGCUCACACCUCACAGGCAAACACUUAGCAAUUAAGAAAUCUAGAUAUAUACAUACCUUCAUACACCUAAGUAGUACUACCUCACCUGUGUGUUUGCCUACAUAUAUACAUACCUUCAUACACCUAAGUAGUACUACCUCUGUCCCAAAUUAUAAGACUAUUUUGGUAGGUUAAAUAGCCUACCAAAAACAUCUUAUAAUUUGGGACAGAGGAAGUAUGUACUAUCUCUAGUAAAGGUAGAAGAAGCUUUAGUGAGUAAAUUUUGCUUAGACAUACUUGACGUUAAUUUGCUUGUUGUUACUGAAGUAGGGGAGAUGGAAAUACUGUUAACAACCAUGUUAAGAACCAAGGCUUUCACUCUUUACAUGUCAUGACAGAAUGUGGUAGACAAUUCUGGAUCCUUCUAUUUGGAUAUGGCAGACGACACAGUGUGGCUUCUCACAUGAUGUUUUUUGUUAUACAUAACACUUGGUUGGAGCCACUGUUUUUCAGUCGAACGACUAGUCAUCCACUAAUCGAUGAGUCAUAAAAAAAGUUGACUUAACAAUGUGUCUACUAGUUGACGAGUUGCAACUGCAGGGUCAACUAUUCAAGAGUCGCUACCACAGAACGACUCAUCGACUCGAAAACCUUGGUUGGAGCUAAGUUAGCUUCCACUAUAUGUAUCUUCCCUUUUCACAUGAUGAUAAUCUGAUUACAACUGCACUUUUGGAACAUAACUUGAGUUUGAGAACAGACUAGUUACAGCCAGCCAUUCAAUUCAUUCCUCCGGGGAAGCACCACCCUGUCACGACUGUGCCACACUAAAGAUGCAUAGACAUAGACAUACGGGUGUGCCACUCUCAGGCAAAGGUGUGUUGCGAGGUGGCGCGGGCUAGUGUGCGUGUGUAAGCUAUCCUGGACGGUGGCAGCAUGUGCAGUGUGUAUGUGUGUGUGGCUACUUUAGCGUUGCUCUACUGUGUGAAGGGAGCAGACGAAAAUGACUAAACAUUUCUGAAGUUUCCACUUUGUCUCUUCUCUCUCAGGUUUCUUCUUCCUCACAAAGCUAUUCAGGCAAGCCCUCACAUCGGCAAUCACACCGGCAAGGGGGACACCACACACCCGCAAUCUCUGGAUAAACGUUUUAAUUGGCUUACUUUUCUGGAAACAACUCAAAACCUUACAGCAUUAUGGCCAGUGCAAAAUUGACCGCAGCUAGAUCGAUCAACGUGGGCACAAUCAACACACACACACACACACACACACAGAGAGAGAGAGAGAAAGAGAGAGAGAGCAAGAGAGAGAGAGAGAGAGAGAGAGAGAGAGAGAGCAGUGGCUUACCGCCUAAUGCCGGGGAGGAAGCAGAAUCGAGGCCACCAGCGGGAGUCGUUGGAGUGGAAGAAUAAUCCACCACCACACACCACAUGGUGGU
rnacentral:lncRNA from 1 species